AUUGAACGCUGGCGGCGUGCUUAACACAUGCAAGUCGAGCGGUAACAGGUGUAGCAAUACAUGCUGACGAUCGGCGAACGGGUGAGUAAUGCUUCGGAAUCUUCCUAGUAGUGUGGAAUAACCUGGGGAAACUCAGGCUAAUACCGCAUACGAACUACGGUUGAAAGCAGGGGAUCGCACGACCUUGCGCUAUGAGAUGAGCCGAAGUCGGAUUAGCUAGUUGGUGAGGUAAAGGCCCACCAAGGCGACGAUCAGUAGCUGGUCUGAGAGGACGACCAGCCACACUGGGACUGAGACACGGCCCAGACUCCUACGGGAGGCAGCAGUGGGGAAUUUUGGACAAUGGGCGCAAGCCUGAUCCAGCAAUGCCGCGUGUGCGAAGAAGGCCUUCGGGUUGUAAAGCACUUUUGUUUGGAAAGAAAAGGUCAGUGCUAAUACCACUGGCUGAUGACGGUACCAAUCGAAUAAGCACCGGCUAACUACGUGCCAGCCGCCGCAGUAACAC
rnacentral:rRNA from 1 species